rnacentral:rRNA from 1 species
CGUCUCUUGAAAAAAUAAGAGAUCCUGCCUGCCCAGUGACAAAUAGUUUAACGGCCGCGGUACCCUGACCGUGCAAAGGUAGCAUAAUCACUUGCCCUAUAAUUGAGGGCUUGUAUGAAAGGCAAGACGAGGGCUUUUCUGUCUCCAGAGUAACUAAAAAAUUAUGCUCUAAGUGAAGACACUUAGAUAAUAAUAUUGGACAAGAAGACCCUAUAGAGCUUAACUCUAAAAGAGUAAAAACUUUAUAAAAUUUAUAUCCACCACCUCUUUUCUCAGUUUGGUUGGGGCGACCAAGGAACAUUAAGCUUCCUUCUUCUCUAUGGGUUUCAACCCUUCAACAAUUGAUCCAAUUAUUUUGACCAACGAACCAAGCUACCUUAGGGAUAACAGCGUAAUCUUCUUUAAGAGUUCUCAUCUACAAGAAGGCUUGCGACCUCGAUGUUGGACUAGGGUACCCUAAAGGUGCAGCUGCUUUUAAUGGUGGGUCUGUUCGACCCUUAAUAAC